rnacentral:rRNA from 1 species
UACAGAGGGUGCGAGCGUUAAUCGGAUUUACUGGGCGUAAAGGGCGCGUAGGCGGUUUAGUGAGUGUGAUGUGAAAGCCCCGGGCUUAACCUGGGAAGUGCAUCGCAAACGACUAAACUGGAGUAGGUGAGAGGGUGGCGGAAUUUCCGGUGUAGCGGUGAAAUGCGUAGAGAUCGGAAGGAACGUCAAUGGCGAAGGCAGCCACCUGGCACCAUACUGACGCUGAGGCGCGAAAGCGUGGGGAGCGAACAGG